AUGUUUUCUGUAGCUCUGCUGCUGCUGUUGGCAGCUGGAUCCUGUGUGAAGUGUGAACAGUUGACACAGCCAGCCUCUGUGACUGUGCAGCCAGGUCAACGUCUCACCAUCACCUGUCAGGUCUCUUAUUCUGUUAGCAGCUACGUUACAGCUUGGAUCAGACAGCCGGCAGGGAAAGCACUGGAGUGGAUCAGUAGUGACAACAGCAUCAAAGAUUCACUAAAGAACAAGUUCAGUAUCAACUUAGACUCUUCCAGCAACACAGUGACUCUGAACGGACAGAAUGUGCAGCCUGAAGACACUGCUGUGUAUUACUGUGCCAGACACACACAAUAA